rnacentral:snRNA from 13 species
AUACUUACCUAGUAGGGGAGACACCAUGAUCAGCCAGGUGGUUUUCCCAGGGCAAGGGUCAUCCCCUACACUAUUUUUAUAUUUUAAGAUAGUGGAGGAGAUCCUCCU